GAUUUUAUAUGUAAAUUUUCAUGUUUAGUGACUCACUUAAAUUCGAUUUUUUUUUCAUCGACGUCAUAUGUUUUUCAAAGUAAUAGUCGUUAAUUUGAAGAAUUCUCAAUCCCAACUUUAGCGAAUGUAGGGUGAAUAAAGUAAAUUAAAAAAAUAUAUAUAUAUAUAGAUAUGGGGUGAGAUGAGAAUAUAUGGUGAACAAAACAAAUCUGAAAUUGAAAAAGGGUGAGAAGAGAAUGUAGGGUGAACAUAGUAGAAUUAGGAAAAUGGUAUUUUAGGUAUAUUGUAAAUGGGCAAACAAAGUAAACUCACAAUUAAAAAUAUAUAAGUGGGGUAUGAAGAGAAUGUGGGGUGAGGCAAAUGGUUUGUGGGGUGGCAAUAGACGCACAAACUAAUACAUCUAAUUUGGAUUAUUAUUAUUUUUGUUUGUUUUCAAUAUGUCUAAUUUGCCCUUCUGAUGUAUAAAAAAGCUAAACUAAUUUUUUUCCUUAAUUGCAUCUAUUUGAAUUAUAUUGGGCCAAUGAUAAAAUGGUACAUUUAGAAGUAAUAAAUGAUAAAACUGUUAACAAAUGUUCCUUGAUGAUAAAACAAUACACCCAUUUAAAUUCUUUAAACCGUUGCCCAUAAAUUUUAAAAAAAUUACAUAUCAUGCCAUUAACAAAAAUAAUAACAUAUUAACCAUUAUAUAUCUCUCUCACUCACUCUCAACUCAUCUCCCUCACUCUCUCUCUCUCUCUCUCUUCUCUUCUCUCUCUCCGNNNNNNNNNNNNNNNNNNNNAGCGAUCCAAGAAACUUGCCUUAUAUCAACGGAAAGCUAGAAGAGUCUAGUUUCUAGAACAUUUCGCAGAUCAUUGAUAGCUAUUUUCUAGAGAAAGUUAUAGCCGUCGGAAGGAGGGAAGGUCAUUCUGCAGAAAACUGGAAAAUGAAGGAGAAAAGUCUACCAAGCAAGUGUUUAAGGACUUAAAGUGUUUAAAGAGAUGCAGAGAGUUGGGGGUUUUGUUGAACAGCUAAAUGAAAGAUUAUUUGUGUGAAACAUAUCUCUAUUUAUUAAGCUUGAUGUUUCUGUUUUUGGGUUCUUCAUUUUCAACACCCAAACAACUUCAUAAUGUUUUAUACUUAUGCAGAUUGCAUUGAGGAAAGGUAGAGAUAAAGUCAUACUGAAAUCAAUGUUAAGUGCACUAAAGCAUGGUGACAAUAAUGGUUCCCUUUCCCUUCCUACUCUAUUUUGUAAUGAAUUUUGGAUUAAACGAUGAAUGAGGAAAGCCAGAGUUCUAAGAGUUGUGUUAACACUAAAUUGUUUUCCUAGGUAUUCUUAAUUUGAUGAUUUACAAUUAAUACAGAUUGCUUUACUUUGCCAUAUUCUGCGUUCUGUGUGAGAAAAAAGAAGUGUAGCUUAUUAUGUAGAAUGUAUGAAGCUACACAUGUAACUAUCAGUCGGUAGUUACAUGGAUAGUUACAUGGAUAGUUACAUUGAUAGUUACAUGCAUAGUUACAUGCAUAGUUACAUAGAUGGAUAGUUACAUGCAUAGUUACAUAGAUAGAUACAUGAAUAGUUACAUUGAUAGUUAGAUAAGUAGCUUAAUGUAGGUACACAAGUCAUUUACAUAAUAAUAAUUGCAGCGUGCCGCUGCACCACAACGACAGCGUCCCGCUACACCGCAAUGGCAACGUCCCGCUAUGUAUUAGAACAGAAAUCUAUUAAAAUCCAUGUAACUAGCAAUGUAACUACCCAGGUAACUAUCAAUCUGUAGUUACAUGGAUAGUUACAUAGACAGUUACAUUGAUACUUACAUGCAUAGUUACAUAGAUAGUUACAUAGAUGGAUAAUUACAUACAUAGUUACAUUGCUAGUUACAUAGUUACAUAGAUAGUUACAUGCAUAGUUACAUGGAUGGAUAGUUACAGGAUAGUUACAUAGAUAGUUACAUAGAUGGAUAGUUACAUGGAUAGUUACAUUGAUAGUUACCUUCUUGUGCCCAUCAUGUAUGUAACUACCCAGGUAACUAUUAAUCUGUAGUUACAUGGAUAGUUUCAUGCAUAGUUACAUGGAUAAUUACAUCGAUAGUUACAUGCAUAGUUACAUACACUUUUGGGUGGAGUAAUAAAAUUGGAUGAAUUGAAUUCAUAGUGUGGAGUAAUAAAAUUGGAUGGAUCAAUGCAUACAUUUUUGGGUGUGUAGAAGAUUUGAGGAGAAUGGUUGGUAAAUGAGUGAUCAACCAUGCAUGGCAAGAUAUGAAAGAGCAGUAGUUGGAGUCUGCUGCAUAUUUUAGAACAAGAUUUGAAACCAUUAUAUGUUAAACUGGUAAGAGCAUGACAAAUAUGAUGACCAGUAAGAUGAUACAUGGAAGACUAUGUUGGUAUAAACAAAUAAAUACUGGAAAGGAGCUUAGCUUUAUUACCUAGUAAUGAGGUCUUGCAUGACUCAAUAUCACUAGAAUCGCCUAAAAAUGAGGAUAUAUGUAUGAAUAUAACACUAUCACAUCCUCGCAAGCACAUCAAGGUCUACUUUGAUCUAUCGAGUAGAAUCAUGCACCUUAAUUCUUUCAUAGACAUUUCAUCAGACACUUGGUGUGCACCUUAAUUCAUUCAUAGACAUUUCAUCAGACACUUGGUGUGCAUGACCAAAUAACAUAACACAUAUCAAAUAGAACAAGCAAAUAUUCAUUUACAAUCUAAGCAAAGAAGAAUUCAUAAGGAAUGCAUUCUUAUUCAUCGAGUAGAAUCAUGCACCUUAAUUCUUUCAUAGACAUUUCAUCAAACACUUGGUCUGCACCUUAAUUCAUUCAUAGACAUUUCGUCAAACACUUGGUGUGCAUGACCAAAUAACAAAACACAAAUCAAAUAGAACAAGCAAAUAUUCAUUUACAAUCUAAGCAAUGAAAGACUCAUAAGGAAUGUAUUCUUAUUCAUAAAGGACAUACUCAAAAUACACAAAACCCAUGGAUUCAAGCUUAUAUAUAUAUAUAUAUAUAUAACCNCCUAGAGUGGC
rnacentral:lncRNA from 1 species